rnacentral:rRNA from 1 species
CCUAAAGGCGUAAUGAAAGUAAAGGUCGUACUUGUACGACUGAGGGAGGAUGAGUUACAUUACGAUGUGAGCUCCGCACUCCCAGGGCGUCUCAUUUUCAUUAUGAAAAGAGGCGCACCUAGAGCGUACACGUUGGGACCCGAAAGAUGGUGAACUAUGCCUGGUCAGGAUGAAGUCAGGGGAAACCCUGAUGGAGGUCCGUAGCGAUUCUGACGUGCAAAUCGAUCGUCGGAACUGGGUAUAGGGGCGAAAGACUAAUCGAACCAUCUAGUAGCUGGUUCCCUCCGAAGUUUCCCUCAGGAUAGCUGGCACUCGUCUAUAAAAAUAUAACGAGUCUCAUCUGGUAAAGCGAAUGAUUAGAGGCCUUGGGGUCGAAACGACCUCAACCUAUUCUCAAACUUUAAAUGGGUGAGAUCUCUAGCUUGCUUGAAUAUAUUAUAAUGAAGCUAUGAGAUUUCGGAUCAGAGUGCCAAGUGG